GGAUGUGUCAGCUGACCGGAGUUCGCGCGAACCGUUCGCAGACGGUUCGCGACAUCACUACUUGUCAAUCGUUCCUUCUACUUAUAGAUAGUAAGAUAUUUCUACUACACCUGCCUCCUUAUACCCGUAGAUAUCUAGAUACUUCUACCAUUCCAACUGUCUGUGACUUCCUUCUACCUGUAGCUUGCUAGUUAUUUAUACUAUUUCAACUGCCUGUACAAGAAAGAGUGUAUAGCAGCUAACUAUAAAAUGAUACAUAAGAUGUUUGGUGCGGACAGAUAAUAUCCUCCUAGCUUUUGUCAAAUUGUAUCAACAUUGGUUUGUCUGUUAAAUAUGUAUACAAUUCUUACAUUAGUUUAAACGUUCUUCUUUUUAUUUAAUUUUGCAAGGUGAUGUGCACGUUAGUGUUUAGUGGGAAAUGGUUGAAGAAUUUAAACCAAUCAGUGCUCUCCCAUACAAAUAUAUGAGAGCAACCUUGAGUGGGUGUGCGUAAAUUCAUGUGCCUCUUCAUUACAGUAUUUUCCUAUGGAAAUCUCUUGGCAUGCAAAGUACUAUUGCAAACAGUUUUUAUUGAAUAUCAUGGUAUCUGCAGGUAGCUUAUUUGGCCUGUUUCUUGAAGUUAAAUUAUAAACUAAAUUCUGCAAGUUCUAUCUGCUCAACUGGGUUGAUUUAUCAAAGUGCAGACAGAUUUUUUUGUAAAGUCUUUUUGGCACAGAUUAUUUAAUCUGUCAGUUUUUUGUUUUUGUUUCAUCCAUUGUUGUUUGUGCCUUAAAGGAAUUCUAUAGUGCAAGGAAUAAAAAGUUGUAUUCUUUACACUAUAGUUCCCUCUGCACCACUCUCUUCCUCACGUUCCUCCUGAUAUGGAAAGGGAUAAAAAAUAUUUUAUUUAUCCAGCCGAUUCCAGCACUGAUCUCCUCUGUGCCCGGUCGGCACUCCACCUCCACCUACGUCCCCCGACAUGGGGUGGGGUCUAAAGCACAUGCACUGUGAGCCUUAUAUGCCCUCACCAUAGGAAAGCUUCAGUGUUUUCUUAUGGGGAUUUUACUGUCACUGGAUGUCCUCAUGCAGAACGUGAGGAUGUCCAGCGUCAGUUAGGUGACCACAAGUUGGUGAGCCAUCAAAAAGUGUCGCUGGGGGCUGUCUGAUUGACAGCCACUAGAGGCAGUCUUAGUUCUGCAAUGUGAUCAUUGCAGUUUGUAAGGACUAAGGGGCACAGGAACACUGCAAUCAGACCACUUCAAUGAGCUGCAAUGGUCUGGGUGCCUAUAGUGGUCCUUUAACUGUAUUUUCUAAAGGUGUUCCACUUUUUUGGCGAUCUUUUCUUCACUUUAUCCACCAUACAGGUAUUCUUUUUCACUUCAUAAUUUUUCCGCCAUGGUAAAUUUGGCGGUCUGAAAUUAAUAUUUCUGCAAAGAAAUGUCAGAAUUUAGGUAGAUAAAGGCCAAUACUUGUUUACACCAUUCGUGGAACAAUUUAGUAAUUAUUAACAGAUAAGAGGUGAAAAAAUAAGUCAGUUUAUAAAACACUUUGAUAACUCUCUACCAAUGUAUUUUUUUUGCAUAUUAAGGAAGGUACUAUAUCUUCCCAUACUCUCCAAUAUGACGUUAUUGGAGGCUGUUUUGGUUCUUUGGGUAUCCCUUAAAAUUAAUAUUCCUUCGCAAUAAAUAUGAAGUGCAAUUUUAAAGGAACUCUCCAAAGUAAAAAAACAAAAAACUACAUUCAGCAAGCUGAAGUGCUUCAGGGGUCUGGAGUGCCACUUUAAGGUGCACUAAAUGAAUUCUGAUUGUUUUUAAAGCAUUAUGCCAUUAAUAUAACUCUGUUUAUUUCACUGCAUAGACAAAUGCUCUACCAAUGUUUUUUUUUUCCUGCCAGGUGUGAUAGGGGACCUCCAGUACUCCAUCAUAGUCUGCCAGUCUAUUGUACUAUUGUUUGCAUACCCACGAGAAGCUUUCCAGAGCCAAUGCUGGAUUUCAUGUAACCCCUCAUGAAAUAUUAUAAAAUAAUACCUAGAAAACUGGAAUGGAGUAACAGCUUGUUAAGUUAAUGCAUUUCUACUGAAUGAGUGUGACUUUCCAGACUGAAUUUAUCAGAGAAUAUUGAAGGUAUACUUAAUGAUGUUUAAGUAAAAAGAAAAAAAGAAAGAAAAUGUGCUAACUAAUUGUAACAAAAUUAUCCAAUGCGGUAUAAUUGCCUGAUGCCCACAACUUUUUGGUUAUAUUAACUGGGCAAAAUGGCUUCCAUGAGGUCAUGGCUACAAUCCUUAAAUAUAUCUUUCCCCUUACACCCAUAUUUUCUCCUAGCAACUAUUAGUGUUUACAAAAGAUUCCGUUUAAUUUUAAAACCAGACGUUAGUAGUAUAGGGUUUUCUUUUAAGAAGCAAAGCUCUAAAAUUGGAACCACCAUUUAAAAUAAUUGAAUGUGGUGACAGUGUACUCCACUUUACAGGUACAUUCCAGUCCUAAUGAUCCCUCUGUGUUUUCUGUUUCUGUCUUUCCUUGUUUUUUUCCCCUCUAUUUGUUUAAAUGGAAUGUUUUUAAUUAUUCUUUAAAUGACCUAAUUUUAGUUUAUUUCCUUUAUACUAGCUGCUCCUAGGCCACUAGUCUCGUCACCUUCAUUGAAAUUCUCAACUAGUUUUCCUUUUUGGAAGAUAACUGAGGUCCAAACAGCUUGAAGAAAUAAUUCUCAUAGAGAAUCACUAUGUUGGCACUGUUUGUUACCGUUCCCCACAUUUUCAUGUCUUACUCAUUCUUUGCGUUCUCUUUUUGGAACCCUCCCUGAUGGGGCAAACCACCUACUAAUCUUUUGUUCUUAUGCCAAGCUUACGUCUAAUUUAUACGCUAUCAUGUACAAAAAAGGGACUUUUAAAGACUCAGAUCACUACAAUCUGAAAUAAUAAUCGCAACUUGAAUAGAUAGGCAAACUUAUGAAAUGGCGACAGAUCUGGAGUUUGACUUAAAAUCUGUUCUAACUCCUAUUUACAAUUAUGACGGUCAAUUCAUUUCAUUAUUAUAACUAAAACGGUUGAAAAUGCUGACUACAAAAGUGCAAAAAAACAAAGAAUGGAGUGCACUAUAAAAUAUUAUUGGGGCACACGUGGAAUUCCGGGGAACACAUCGAUUAAGCAUAGUGCUUGAAGAAGGCCAUACAAUAUAUAAGAGCUAAACAGAAUUAUUGUGCACGGACUAUUGACCCUCCUGCACAGCUCUCAUACAGUCAUUGAAAGACAGUGGCACACUGAAAUUACAGAUAGAUCUAGGUCAACUAGACUCUACUCAGUAACUAGAAUAGAGGGAAAAUAAAAUAAUUCAAAUCUCCAAAGUAAGAGAAACAGACAGUUACUGCCAGGCAUACAGACAAACAUACGUGAAAUAAAAUGUAUCACCCUCUUCUCUUCGUCCACUUUGCAGGCUACUUGGCCUAUAGCAAUUUACCAUUUUUUUCCAGUUUUCUAAGCUGUGUACGUGCAAAGAAAGUGAGGCCAAUCAGGAAAAGGUUUCGUAAAAAUAAAUAAAAAUGGAGGAAUGCACAGGAUAGUUGACAGGUCUCUAUAAACAAUGCACUAUAAUAACUCUCUAAAAGUAACACACACAGGGUACUUUUUGUCUUUAGCACCAUGACUAUAUGGUGGCAAUAAAUGCACUCAUGCUGGGUUGUCAUUUGUUGUUUUCUAUAACGUGCUCAGAAAUGAAGAAAAGAGGAGCAGAUUCUAAAAGAGGAGGAGAAGAGGAAACAAUAGGAGAAAGGUGAGCCACUUUAAAAAUCAAAUCAGGGCUGGAACGUAGAGCGUGUUUCUAACUUUAGAGGUUUGUAGUAAAAAAAUUAAAUAAUUAAUCAUGGAUUAAUGUACCUGCCAUUCUGUGACAUAAAAUGUUCCAGGAUCUUUACCCACUCACUAAAAAGCAAAGGAUUAUGGGAAAUGGAAUAUGGAGUUCAGCAGUCAGGCGACAGUUAGGUGAUAUUAUAUGGAACCUACAAUAUUAGUAGAAUCCUGUGGUAUACAUGUAGUAUACAUUUUCUGUCCUUAUCCUAACUACAGACGGAAAUCUACUAUCUGAUGAUCCUGCUCAAUAGUAACAAAUAUAUUUAACAAAAUAAAUUAUUCACAGCUACACAUAAUUACAAUGCACCAAAAGAAUGCAGAGACAUACAAACCCUCUCCCCACCCCCGCCACAUAUAAAAUAUUAUGCAGAGAAGGUAUAUACCCAGCUAUUGCUCUUAUUAGUGCUGCAAAAAGGAAAAAAUAGAAAAUCAACAAAAAUGUAAUUAUUAUAUGAACUCAUAUAUGCAUUUUAAAAACCUGUUCUCUUUAUAUUAUUUUUGUUAUUUGGGGAAGAUUCAGACUGAAUGGUUUCCUGUACAGUUCUGCAGGUUCUCUUUAUACAAUUGAAACUCCAUUGUUCAUUCACGUUAUAAACAGACACACGCACACGCGCGCACACACAUACGAUGCACACAAACACACAGUGGUCGCUGUAUUGUGUACACCUAUAUCUAGUAUAUGAAAACUUUUUUUCUUCUAGAGCAACAUGAUUUACACUUGUUAUGCUGAAAACAGUCCUUUUAGUCUUUGAUCCGUGCUGGCUCGUCAGCAUUACACUACUGGCAGAUGUUUUGGCCACUCAUACUACCAACCUCCUGUUCCACAGACUUCCACACAUGCUCUGUGAGAUUGUGAUCUGAGGAGUGUGAAGGUCUUUGGGGUAAACUGAAGUCACGGUCAUGUUGAAAUGAUGCUUGCUAUUUGGCAUGGGGCAAUACUCCACUGCAAGCAUUGAUUUGUAAAUGGGUAAACUGUGACCUCUCUCUCUAUCCAUCUGAUCCUGUCUUUCCUCACUCAUAUUUUUACUUGCAUCUGAUCUGCGUUUUCUGCUUUACAGCUGUCCCUCAAAGCGUAAAGCUAUUUUGUUUGUUUGGUCACAGGCAAAACACCUGACAAUCGUUCUUCUCAUUUGGUUCUGUCAUUUUAUGAUAAUUUAGCUGGAGCAAGAAGCACACAGAACUUAAGAAAUAAACAAGUUCCUGAAGCUGUGGUCCUGGUCCAAAGAAUUAGUACCCUACCUCCUCUGUAUUGAGAAGGGCCCUAACUUCUUUGUUACAUGCUGUUUGAUUUAUUAAUUUUUUAUACUUAUUGUAAUGCAGUGUGGAAUUUGUUGGCACUAUAUGAAUAUAAUAAUAGUAAUAAUAAUAAAGAGUUGCACAAGACCAACCAGUUGAAUUGUCAUUCAAAUGUAGUUUAAAUGGUACAAAGGGGCCUAGAAGGCUAAGACACAUUGUUACACGCUAUAGAAUGUGGCAAAUGUGUCAAUCAUUUGUCCUUCGUCACAAUCUAUUUUUCUUUCUUAUCAAUCCCAGCCUGUACGGCUGACACAUGGAAGGUUGAUGUGUUAAGUUUACUCCAAUUGCUGAAACUACAAACUGCAUGUUGCAGCACAAAACGAGCAAGGCAACAUUUUUCUAAUCUUCACUCAUGCAAUUUUGGUAGUAACAUCCCGCUAUAGUGUCAUCUUUAUGUUGUUUUCAGUAGAACUGUGGUCUUCUGUUAUAGUCCAUCCACUUCAAUAUUUGAAGUAUUCUAUGUUUUACGAUGACUAUUGCACCAUUUACUGAAGUCAUCUGUUUCUGAAAUGAUGCAACCUUAACACAUGCCACCAACAAUCCUAUCCUGAUCAAAGUCACUUAGAUCUUCUCCAGUCUAACGUUUGGGCGAACCACAACUAAAGCUCCUCGUGCUUUAUGUUUUGAGUUGCCUUCACGUAUACCCUAUUUGGUCAUUUUUGUUAAUAUUCAGGUGUACACAAUACAGUAGCCACUGAGUAUUUCUAUAAAUACAAUUAUUCAUAGAAACACAUUUAGAAAAGAGUGGACAGUAGUGAGGAUCUAGUGGGCACAUCCGGUCUCGGAUGAGGUAAAUCAGAAGCUUCUCUCUGGUUUAUGUAACAAGUUCUAAAACUCAACUCAGACAUAAUAUCGCUCACCUCAGAAAAUAUAUUUUAUGUGUUACAAUACUGACUUUGUUUAACAUUGCAUCACAUAAUGGUCUGCAUUACAGGCUUUCUAAUAAAGCAUUAACAAAAUACCAGCCCUUACUUUGGCAGUUCUUCAUGAGAUUGUAGAUAUAUAAGCGUAUGAGCAUAUAUGAAAGCAUACAUGAAAGGGCAUUACUUAAAUACUUUCCAUAGAAACAUUAAUCAGCAAUGGAACGCAAUGGUACACUAGCAGUAGAAAAUCUACACAAUGCGGAAGUCUUCUAGAUAUAAUGUCCAAGGAGAAAUUCUAGAUUAUGUAUUAUUUAAUUUAGAACCAUUUCAGUACCCCAAUACAAUAAACCCAUACGUACAAAGAAACUGCUUUAAAGCAUUAUCAGAUUUGAUAAAAAAAAAAUAAAAAAAAAUAAACUAUAUAUAUUGUGAUUCCUACGUAUGUGCUGUGUCUAUGUCUUGCAGCUGGGACAUAUGGCUGUGGCAGAAAUUAAGCUUGUAACCUAAUGGAGCCGUAGAUUACAUUUUUUGGGGGGGAUAGUUUUGAUCCCUCAAACGCCACUAAAGCUGAACCCCUAAUUAUGAGUGACCGGACCCACACUAUAAUGCUGACUUAAUGGCUGUGUAAGAUUAAUUGGAGUUAAAAUGAGCUAAAAUGCCUUGGUAAAAUUACAGAACAUCACGUACGAGCGGAUAAGCAAUGUACACAAGUUUUAACAAACAUAUGAACUGUUGCCCUAUUAGUAGAUUUCUUAUUUUGUGUCCUUUUUAUGCCCACUUUACAGUAGUUAUAGUAGUUAUUUUUUGUUUAAUGAAUUGGAGAAUGUACAACAAUCCAACCAACACACAUUUCUUGCUGUUUUAUGUGCGUAGAAUUUAUUCUAGAUAUUUAAUUGUCACUUUGAGAGUCUACGUAAAUAGCUAUAUUAGACAGUGAGUGACAAUCAGAUCACCAUUAACAAACCAAAAUCUUUUUUUUUUUUUUACUUUCCCUGCAAAGAAAAUCAGCAGGGAGAUUACUGGUAAAAUUAAAUGGCAACUGUCAUCAAAUAUUUACUUCUCGUUUUUUUAAAGUUUAAUACAUUUAAUGAAUUUGUUUUGUUUUGUUUUUUAAAGAAAAUUUAACUUUUUGAUCUUAGCCUAAGUUGCCUGUUGCUACAUUUUCAAAGAGAAAUCGCAAGUUAGGUUGAACACAAGUUGGUCAGAUAACAACUGAAUCAGACCCAACAUGACUGCUUAGCCAGAUAAAAUAGCUUGAAUAUACAUAAUAAAAAAAAACAAAAAACAUUGUUUUAUUAAAUCUAACAAACUUGAGAAAACAAGAAAUGAAGAAUUGGUGACAGUAGACAUUUAAGUCAUAUCACGCUAUGCAGAUAAUGAAAUCCUGAGCUAAUGUUACUGAAACAAAGUUACUUUAUUGGGUAUGGACAGUGCAAUAGCUGCCCUUCUCGACUUGUUAACCUGUAACUUACAUCAGCCAGCUUAGUAUGUCUCUAAGGCUGGUUGGCGGUGACAAAAAUGUCGACCCAACAGCUGUAUUGUGAUCUUCCCGGACAAGUAUUAGGCACUAAAUCUUAAAGUGCAAUGUUCGUCUUCCACAAACCAAACCAAACUUUCUCUGUAUAGUUAGGACUUUUUGGCUAAUGCAUGUGCAUACAUAAAUGUGCAUAUCUGAACGAGGAUCUUAGCAUAUUCCACUCUAACAAAACAGCAUUUACAUUAUAUUGGAUCCCAAUUCAAUUGUAUCUUUCAAAGCAUCACACAAGUGGCCAACGCAAACCAUUCACACGCAGCAAGAUAUGAACUUGCAAAUUUUAUCAAAUUCUUUUUGUACAG
rnacentral:lncRNA from 1 species